rnacentral:rRNA from 1 species
UGGGGAAUUUUGGACAAUGGGCGAAAGCCUGAUCCAGCCAUGCCGCGUGAGUGAAGAAGGCCUUCGGGUUGUAAAGCUCUUUUAGUCGGAAAGAAAGAGUUGCAAUGAAUAAUUGUGAUUUAUGACGGUACCGACAGAAAAAGCACCGGCUAACUACGUGCCAGCAGCCGCGGUAAUACGUAGGGUGCGAGCGUUAAUCGGAAUUACUGGGCGUAAAGGGUGCGCAGGCGGUCUUGCAAGUCAGAUGUAAAAGCCCCGGGCUUAACCUGGGAAUUGCGUUUGAAACUACAAGACUAGAGUGCAGCAGAGGGGAGUGGAAUUCCAUGUGUAGCAGUGAAAUGCGUAGAGAUGUGGAAGAACACCGAUGGCGAAGGCAGCUCCCUGGGUUGACACUGCCGCUCAUGCACGAAAGCGUGGGGAGCAAACA